ACAGACAUAUGUAGUCAAAUCGGAGCAGCGAGCCAUAAGAUCUGUUAUGACGUCAUGUUCAGAGUUCUGCGGCGUUGUGCUGGAUGGAGCUUGACUGCCCUCGUGUGUCCAAACUCAGGAACGGCAGUUUCCCUCAAGGGGUAUUCUGUUCCAAGUUUUGUGGUAGUUAGCCAAGAAAUAUUACGAUUACUAUUACUCUCUCUCUCCCCCUUUUUAAACCCGUUCAUGAUAAUUAUUGUAUACAUUACCUUUAUUUUUGUAAUGUUCUUCCCUAUUUGUGGAUAUUCUCGAGUGAAAUAGACGAGGCCAUGUAGUUACCUAGGAGCAGAGUCUAAAAUAUCUUUUUGAAGAACCUCAAACUAUUAUCAUUUGCUAUACUAUUGAUCAUUACGUUACAUACAUCUUAUUCGUAUAUGGAAAGUACUUAAUGAAGAUAAUAUACUUUAUAUUUUUUUAUGUAACCAUUCAAGUAUUUGUUGAAAUGCUUUUGUUACUGAUAAAUACAUGUACAUUUAAAUUGAUUUUGUUCUGUCUGUGAUUUUGUAGAUCUGGAUGUUCAGCUGGUCUCAGAUCAAGCAUCCUCCUCUGUACUGACUCCACUAUCCCCAGCUUCAUCCCAUUCAUUAGAUUCCACAAUUGUCCUGGAGUCCACACGAAAGAGUAGGAACCCAACAGGGUUAAUGGAGCAGAAUGAAGCGAGACAGGUAAGCUUUGAAUAAAUGCAUUUAAAAUCCUCAAUUACGUAAUUGUUUAUUAUUGAUACUUAUCUGUAGAAGUGUUUUGUAAAUGUAUUCUCGGCAUAAAGGAAAGGCAUUAAAAAUCCUCUUAAAUUUCCAUGAGCAUGUCAUAACGAUGUAAGAUGUUUUGGCAGAAAGUUGAUUGUGUUCUGAGGGCCAAUCGAAAGGGUGAGGAAAUCUUCAAGGAGUAUGAAAAGACCAAAACACUAACAUGUCUGCAACCAGGACGUUCACCAUCUGUUUACGUGUGGCAUAUGUUAGAGCUACAUGGGAUGAUUCCAUGGUCAAGUGUGAAGACCAAUUAUGCACUGGGAAUUGUGACACUUUUUCCAUACCUCCAAGAUCCUUUCUCCAAACAUGGAUAUGAACACUACUAUGAUCCUUUAGGGUAAUACUGGCUUCAUUGCAUGCAGGAUCAAGACAGUUCAACAUAACACCUGUGCUGGCUCCCGGUGUUAUUCCAAGACUGUUCUUCAGGAUGGUCCAAAAAACAGACAAGAAUCUCUCUUAACUUGUCAACAGCGAUUUGGUGAGGAGUGCAGGGAGGCGAUAUCUACAAUACGACAUUUCACUGAUGAGAAGAUGAGCGACUUUCCAGUAUUGACCGAAGAUGGUCGGUGAGGAUGCAUCAUCUUCAGUCCUGGAUUUGUUCACUCGUUUCCUUGCUGUAUCCGGAUUGAUCGACCACUAUUUCUCCAUGAUGUUUGGUGACGAAGUGUCCAAGAAGUUCCUGGCAAAGUGGUCAAUAUUCUUCAAGCCAAACAUCAUUGCAGACUGCAAGACUCUUAAGAAUAUGGGCGAGCUGCUGUCAGGAACUGAACCUGAAUCUGAGGACUAAAAUGGUCAGUAUAAACUGUUUUGU